rnacentral:rRNA from 1 species
CAAGACUGUGAUCAAUAGCUGAUUUGAGAGGAUGAUCAGCCACAUUGGGACUGAGACACGGCCCAAACUCCUACGGGAGGCAGCAGUGGGGAAUCUUGCACAAUGGAGGAAACUCUGAUGCAGCGAUGCCGCGUGAGUGAAGAAGGCCCUUGGGUUGUAAAGCUCUUUCGUCGGGGAAGAAAAUGACUGUACCCGAAUAAGAAGGUCCGG